AGCUUUGCCCAUCCCCCUGCUCUGGCCCCGAAGUGGCCUUCCCUCCAACUGGAGCUGAGUCUCCCUGGAGUUGAUGCCAGCGGAACCCAAACGGCCUCCUUCCCAGAUGAGCAGCGAGAGGCGGCAGCGCCCCGCAGGCCCGCAGCCCAGCCAACAAGAGCGAGCCUGCUAGCUUUGUUUCCUCUGCCUGUUGCUCCCAGAUUUGUUGUUCUUUUGAACUCCGGAUCAGAAAAGAAAAUAGCUGGAGAGAUAGACACCUGGAGCCGAGGCCAGGCUGGGAGGGGCAAGGAAGGGAUUCAAGAGUUUCCAGAAGCUUGGGCCUCCCUCCAGGGACAUUCUUAGGAAGGCAGAGGGGUGUAAUUAAGCUAAGGAUCUCAAGGUGAGAUCAUCCUGGAAUUAGGCUGAGUCCUAAACUCAACGCCUGGUGUCCUUAGAGGAGAGAAGAGAGGAGGAUUUGAGACACGUGGAUACAGAGAAGAAGGCACGUGAAGACAAAGGAGGGGACAAGUUAGACAGCCACCGUGGAGCGCCCAGGAAGGCCACCACCACCAGAAGCCAGGAGAGAGGCAUGGGACAGCUUCUUCCUCAGAGGCUGCAGAAGGAACCAACCUCACUGACACCUUGAUCUUGGACUUCCGGCCUCCAGACUGUGAGGGAGUAAAUUUCUGCUGUUGUAAGCCACGACCUUUGUGGUUGGUUGUUACAGCGGCUCAGGAAACUGACACAUCUUCCCGAUUGGAGACUGAGCCUCUGAGACCCUUUUACAGAUGAGCAGCUAGAAACAGAGGAGCUGGGUGGCUGCCAAGGUCCUGCUGCUAAUUAGCGUCAGCACUGGGGGUUGGAUCUGGGUCUCCCACCUCACAGGCCCUUUCCCUGUCCUCUGUCUCACUCAGACCAGGGGGAGCUGCCCCCCUCCACCCCGUUUCUCCUACCACCUCAUGGCUCCCAAGUGGCCCAACACGCGCACUGUGCAAAGUGAAGAGCGAGCCCCAAGGGGAGAAGCCCAGGCAAUGCCCUGGUGGAGGGGCUGGGGCUGGGGAUCC
rnacentral:lncRNA from 1 species